GCCCUAUCCACUGCCUCCCCGGCACCACCGCCUUAGCCACGCCCUCACUCGACACUGUUGCUCCACCUCAUGUGAUUGAGAAAAAAAACUGUAGAGGACCACAAAACAUGAUAUAAAUCUUGGAGUUUGUUCUCUCUUGCAUUUCAGGAAUUUUGAGGGGCAAAGGAGAUGUCUAGGUUUUGAGCACUGUGGCAAGCUUCACUUAAUGCAACAAAGAGAGGUAUGGCAUCUCAACUUUUAAGAUGAUGGGUAUCUAUGUCUAUGCAUGUUGAGUUUGCAGAGCUGCUUUCUUCUUGUUAAGUUAAUCUCUAUAUGUGUAUCUGAAAUGUUUGUUAGUUCUUUUGAUUUCUAUUUAUUUAUUUUUCAGUGUUUUUUUAAAAUAAAAAAAAAAUUGUUGUGUAAUUAAAAUUAUUGUAUGUUGUAUGUCUCAAGGCAUUUAACUGGAAUUCAAGUCAAUGCAUUGAUGUUGGAAAUUGUACAUCACAUUUCUGAUAAGUAGGUUGGUUCUAAAGUUUGACGUAAUUAGUUCUAAGAAGAAAUGAAAUUUUGUGAGCUGAUAAACAAUUGUCUUCCUUUCUUUUUCCUAAUGCCAAAAAAUAUUUCUCGUAUAUGAUAUCACAAAUCAAGUGUAGAGACACUAAGCUUUGCAAGUUUGUCAAUCAAUGAUUAAUUUGUGAAAUAGGUAGUUAUAGAACUCGUCACUAACCAAUUUAAUAAAAUAAUUUUAUGAAAUUUCACUCACAAAUAUUUGAAUAAAAAACCACCCUCAGCAUUUUGGAAAUUUAUGUAGUUAAUAAUUGUUCCAGGGAAUCACAUAUUUGAGAAGUAAAGCGGGUUCCUUUUCAAUAGUUUAUAUUAUUUAAAUGAGAUGUCAGUGCUUGGUGCAAUCAAUUUUUUUUUGGUUAAUUGUAUUACACCAUAAAAAUUGCCCUUGAUCAACUUUGUCAUGACUCAUAUUUAAGACUAAAAGAUUCCACGUGGAACUCCUUUUGAGGUGGUUCUUAGUGAAAAAAAAUGGAUACCUUUUAAAGUUUCAACCUAACCAAGAUUGACACUUCUAAGAAAUGUGUCGGACACUAACACAACACGACACAAAAUUUAUCUAAAACUUCCUAACACUUAGACACACAUGAAAUACAUUACAAGUUUGAAAAGAAUAACUUGUAAUCAAAUGAAAAAAAGAAAGUUGUAACAACACCGAUCCGUAAUUAACCAUUAAUCUGCAAUUAAGAAUGCUAACUGAGUGCUUAGAAUGGAAUUAUGUGUUAAUUGUGUAUUUUGUAUGCUAUAUAGCUUUCUAUCUGUUACUUGUAGAAAUAUCUAUUUGGAAUUCUGCUUUGAUCUGGAAAUUGAAAGCCGUAUCGGCAUCCGAAACCAAAAUUAGUUACAUCAAUAUGCUAUUUGGAAUUUUUAGAACACUAUGGCGAAUUUAAUUAAAAAUUGAUUCAGUCUGAUUAAUUAAGUUGUGUUUGGCAAGCCUAAUGUUCCAAUUAAUGUAUAUUAGCAUUACAACUAUAUAAGUGGGCUCUAAAGCUCAUUCUUGAGCUCAAUAACGUUUCAUUUGAGUGGAAAAAUCUGGUGAGGCUUUGUACAGAGAGAGAGAGAGAUAGAGAGAGAGAGAGAGAGAGAAAACUCUUAUUCUAGAGUGAGAAAAGAAGAAAUUGAAGGAAAUUUGAAGGAAGACUUGAAGAUUAUUGUUUGUAGGAUCAAGAUUGUGCAAGAACAAGAGAAUUUGGAGACUCUAGGUAAGAAAUCAACUCCUAAAUUAUGAACCUAGGUCAUCAAACAUGAGAAUACAUGAAGAAUAAGAGUUUAAAUGCAUAUUAUGAGCUUAAAAUGAAGAAUUGAGUUGUAUUUCAUACAUGCAUUCAUUUAUGAGUGUUAAAUCAUCAUUUUGAUUAUGAGCUUUAUCAUUUAUGUUGAGUUUAGACCAUGAAAUUAACAUGCAUGCAUAUUAGAUCAAGUUUUGAAAGUAAAUUCCAUGUUUGAAGAGUAUUGAAAAGAAUUUUACAUGCAUGUUGAACCUUGCCAAGUUAAGUUUGAUUAUGAGCAUCUAAAUUGUUAUUGUGAGUUAUUUGGUACAUGCAUGUUAGAGUCAUCAUGUUUCAUCACUUGAAUUCAUGUUUUGAGAAGGAAUUUUCUACAUGCAUGGGGCCUUAUAACUCAAAUUGGGCCAAACAUCAUGGAUCUUGAAGAAAAGAGUUGUAUGUUAUACAUGCACGAAAGUUUUUGGGCAUAAUUUUGGUAAAUUCAUGAGUUUUGAGCAAAAAGAGCUUGUGAAAACCAUAUGUUUAUGUUUUGGAAAAGUUUUCAAGCUUUAAAGACAAACCAUGUGUGGACACCCUAUUUUUCACCGCCUGCAAGGCUCAAGCGCUUUGCCCGAUACACUCGAUGAUAAAAGUGGUAUUGUGCAUGGUUCGAGGUCUCAAUGAAGGGGCCAUGUUUAAGCUCCGAAACAAUCCCAAACCUUUCAUAUUUCCACUAAUUAUACCCAAGAAAUCCAUUUUUACACAUUGUGCCACCCUAUGCUGAGAUGGAAACAGAAAAACAAGGGAAUGCAUCGAGGCCCGGCCGUGCCUCAUUGAGGGCCGGCCGUGGCUAUUGAGGGCCAGCCAUGCCUUAGUAGCGAGACACACUAUUCUGGGCGGGAGGCCACUAGCUGUCCAUUUUUGAAGAUAUUUAUGAUAUUUUUGGCUCAAAUUCUAUAAAAACAACCAUGUAUCUCUAUUUUGAGGGUUGAAGAAUUUCAAGAAAGCCUUUAUUCCACCUUGAGCGCUCUUUCUUCUCCUUCUUCUUGUGCAAGCAACACUUUGAGCUAACCUAUCACCUUGAACCUAUAUCCACACACCAUAUACAUCUUCAUACCUUAGCCUAGGAAGCUUGGUUGAGCCUUGAACACCAUAAUUCAAGCUUGAGAGUGUGGUGAGACUUAGUUUGAAUCACAAGCAAAAGCUUACUUCUUUGAGAGGUAUAAGCUUGUCAUCAUCUCUUUUACUUCUUGUUCUUUCAUUUAAUAUCUAGUUCUUAUUAUUUUGUGUUGUUUUGAUCCAUUUCCAAGUGUUUGAGUUUGGGUUUGGAGAGCUACAAAAAGGGUAGAAAGAGUUUACUCUUUCUGCACCUUUAAACAUAGCUCAAAGCUUUGCUUUUUACACUCUUUUUCUUAACUCUCUAGACUGAUUUUCAGAGUUAAAAAAAAGGCUAAAAAUCAUGCUUUGAGAUUUCAAAAGUGGAGGGGUUAGCCUCCCCUCCUUGUUCUUGCUUACUAGUCUUGAUUCCUCUCUUUGUUGUUUAGCUUGUUAGGCUUUUUUCAUGCAUUCUAAGCCACUAUUUUUCAUCUCUUGAGGGCUAUUUUAGGGCUGUUUUAGGUGGUCUAAUUAGUUCAUGCUUUGAUUAGUUUAGUUGUUGUCUCAUAAGUAUGCCUACAUAGCUUGUAGUAUAUUGUUCUAAGCUUUUCUUCAACUCAUUUCCAUGUUUAAAGACCUCAUUUUAAUAAUCAACUUGCCAUUCAUAUAUUUCAUUUGAGAGUUGUUUCAAUCGGUUGACGGUUAUUCAAAACAUGAACUAGCGAUUUACGCUUAAUGGCUUAAUCUCUACGGAGGUUCAUUGCCAACGGUGUAGUCUCUUUUUUAUGUUGAGAAUCACCUCUCGUUUGACAUACUUCUCACGUAGUGGACGUAACAAUCAUCUUGGACUUAAUGGAUUAAAGGAUGGCAAAGACUAAUGAAUUUGGCUUAAAAUGAACUAACUCAAAUAAAGAAAAAGAGUUAUAUUGCUUGGGAUUCGGCCGAACGUUAUGCCAAAUCCAUUGUGUCAAGAGUUGUCUUACAUCAAUUCAUGAUGUUUUGAUGGAUCUUGAAGCAUCUC